CAAAGUGAUGAGUUAGGAUUUGAAGAAUGUCUGUCUGAUUCCAGAGUCCACUACUUUCACCAGGAUUCUAAGUAAGCUGGAGGAGAAUAAUCACACCAGCAUACACGAAGGCUAACUUUUAAGAUAUGAAUGAAAUCUACUAGUUGCAGAAUGGGCCAGCAUCAAUCAAAAUAUGCUAAAGGAAUUCAAAAAAUAUCAAUGCAAACAUUUGAAGAGGACUUCACAAAGAAAUCUUAAACAUUAAACAAGAAGGAAAAAAAAAAGACCUGAAAGUUUAAAAUACAAAGAUCUCUCCUAGAUGAAAGUCUAAACAAAUCUAAGUGUGAGAAGACCUGACACAAAGUGAAUGAUGUACAUGUCAAGAAAUGAUCGUGGAGAGUACAUAAAAUUGACAACUAAUCUAGAGCUAGUUUCUGCUUUUUGUGGGAUAUCAUCUGUAAAUUUAAGGGCUGGAAGAAACCACAAAAGGAAUGGACAAUGAAGGAAGAAGUAGUUGAUUUUGAAGCUCCAGAACAACUGGAAAUGAGAAU